rnacentral:rRNA from 1 species
AACGCUGGCGGCGUGCCUAAUACAUGCAAGUCGAGCGAACGGACGAGAAGCUUGCUUCUCUGAUGUUAGCGGCGGACGGGUGAGUAACACGUGGAUAACCUACCUAUAAGACUGGGAUAACUUCGGGAAACCGGAGCUAAUACCGGAUAAUAUUUUGAACCGCAUGGUUCAAAAGUGAAAGACGGUCUUGCUGUCACUUAUAGAUGGAUCCGCGCUGCAUUAGCUAGUUGGUAAGGUAACGGCUUACCAAGGCAAC